GAUUGUGGAGUAUCAGAUAAAGGCUGUGCUGCUCUCGCUUCAGCUCUGAGAUCAAACCCCUCACACCUGAGAGAUCUGGAACUAUAUAGGAAUAAAGUAGGCGACUCAGGAGUGAAGUUUCUCUCUGCUGUACUGGAGAAUCCUCACUGUAAACUGGAGAUACUGAGGUUGUGUGAUUGUGGAGUAUCAGAUGAAGGCUGUGCUGCUCUCGCUUCAGCUCUGAGAUCAAACCCCUCACACCUGAGAGAACUGUAUCUGUCUAGGAAUAAAGUAGGAAACUCAGGAGUGAAGUUUCUCGCUGAUCUAAAGGAUGAUGAACGUUACAAACUACAGACACUGAAUGUUUAAUGGUGAUGAACAAUUAUGUGUGAAGACUCCAGUGUUCCUGCAUUUCCAUGUCUGCAAACCGAGAACACGUAUCUACAGCAGCGGUCACCAACAUGGUCGCCCGCAAGGACCACAUGAGUCACCUGUGGGACUUUUCUAAAAUAGUUGUUUCCUACCUGGUUUAAUCAUUGUUCAUACUGAUUGUGAGAAAUCAUUAACAUGAUCAGUGUCUUCACAUAC